CCUACGGGAGGCAGCAGUGAGGAAUAUUGGUCAAUGGUCGGGAGACUGAACCAGCCAAGCCGCGUGAGGGAGGAAGGUACAGAGUAUCGUAAACCUCUUUUGUCAGGGAACAAAGACUGGGACGCGUCCCCGGAUGAGUGUACCUGAAGAAAAAGCAUCGGCUAACUCCGUGCCAGCAGCCGCGGUAAUACGGAGGAUGCGAGCGUUAUCCGGAUUUAUUGGGUUAAAAGGGUGCGCAGGCGGUCUGUUAAGUCAGCGGUCAAAGCCCGGGGCGGAACCCCGGCCCGCCGUUGAAACUGGCAGUCGCGAGUUGGAGAGAAGUAUGCGGAAGGCGCGGUGUAGCGAGGAAAUGCAUAGAUAUCGCGCAGAACUCCGAUUGCGAAGGCAGCAAGCCGGCUCCACACUGACGCUGAGGCACGAAAGCGUGGGUAUCGAACAGGAUUAGAUACCCCAGUAGUC
rnacentral:rRNA from 1 species